rnacentral:lncRNA from 1 species
GGUACUAUUCUCAGAGCCGCUCAACAUUGGGUUCGAAUAAGGAAGAAACUUUUAUUUCUGGACCUGAGGGAGAAUCGUCGAUCUGAUUCUCUGACCGACUAUCUCGAGAAGAUGAAGCCUUCUUACUUAUCAUUGAAAAUGGAAAACUAAAGAAGAAAAAAAACCCUAGAAGAAGAAAACCAUAAAAGAAGAGAAACCCUAAG